rnacentral:rRNA from 1 species
AUUGAACGCUGGCGGCAUGCUUUACACAUGCAAGUCGAACGGUAACAGGCCGCAAGGUGCUGACGAGUGGCGAACGGGUGAGUAAUGCAUCGGAACGUGCCCAGUCGUGGGGGAUAACGCAGCGAAAGCUGUGCUAAUACCGCAUACGAUCUAUGGAUGAAAGCGGGGGACCGUAAGGCCUCGCGCGAUUGGAGCGGCCGAUGUCAGAUUAGGUAGUUGGUGGGGUAAAGGCUCACCAAGCCAACGAUCUGCAGCUGGUCUGAGAGGACGACCAGCCACCCUGGGACUGAGACACGGCCCAGACUCCUACGGGAGGCAGCAGUGGGGAAGUUUGGACAAUGGGCGCAGCCUGAUCCAGCACUGCCGCGUGCAGGAAGAAGGCCUUCGGGUUGUAAACUGCUUUUGUACGGAACGAAAAGGUUUGGGUUAAUACCCUGGGCCGAUGACGGUACCGUAAGAAUAAGCACCGGCUAACUACGUGCCAGCCGCCGCAGUAA